CGUGCUGAAAAUAAUUUUACUUCACCAGCUGCCAGUUUAUUUGGACAAGUCUGGGGCACCCAGAAGGACUGGAGGAAAACCUUCUGCCUUCUUUCAGAAGGAGGAGAUGUCAGCGUGGCUGUCACAACCUGGCAAUGCUUGGUAGGAUGUGUUUUCACAGCUGGUUACUGCACCCUCCAAACACCCAGAGACAUGAAAGAGAUGCAGUGGAAGAGUGAGUUAAUGGACUUCUCCCUGUUUAUCAGCUGUUUGGAGACAUCCCGCCAAACCUUCAGCUGUAGCUGAUAUUGAAUAUCACCUAUACAUUUUCAGGAAACUGUGAAUACUAAAUUGAAAACUUUCUUGGUUUGAACGGCCGUAUGAGAUACAUGAAUGCUAUUGUUUCCUUGUUGAAAGAAAUGCGUAAUUAAUGCAGAGCAAGGUGGAAAUUGUAUGGUAUACAUUUGAAAAUUGAGAUAGAUAAAUAUUUGAGCAAUCAAGCCAAGAAAAUGAUAUUUUCAAAGUACUCACAGCAGUAAAGAUGAAUGUUUUAUCAUUUACUUGAAGUAAAUAUGUGCUGUCAGGAGGAGAGCUGACUCAAAUACACAGUGUGAAAGCUUCAGAGGCAAUCUCGCUUCCAGGCAUAUUGCAAGCUUGGAGUGAUGAUAUCAAAUGGACAUAACACAGCUAAUUAAUUUUAUUUCUCCUCAGACACACAAAAUACCUGUUUCGAUGCCCUUGAACCACAGGGGUCCUUAGAUAAGUGAGUAAAUGGACCUCCUAUCUGCUUUCUGGCGUGAACAGGUUUAUUAGAAAAACUGGGGCCUAAACCCACCAUUUAGCUGGUGAACUUGCUAAAUACCAUCUAAUAGAACAAGUGGAGAUACCACCCAAAAAGCUUCAGCUAGUUGGGAUCACUGGGGUCCAAAAGAAUUCAUUUGAACCCAGUAAUUUUGAAGGGAAAAUUAAUUAUGGGUCCAUACGGAUUUUGUGAGGAAGCAUGUAUUUUAAUUAUUUUAAACCCAUCUAAAAAAAAAAUUUAAAUGUAACAUCCCCGAGAGUCCUUUCCCUUGCUCAUCCCCUGCCCUUUACUUCCUACUCCCAUUUCUGCAGUAGCAUGUUUUGAAGGCAGCGUCCAGAGAGCAGACGUUACCGACAGCCUGAGAAGGGCUUUAGGGGGCAUCAGGCAGCACAAAACCAGACCAGCUAAAAUACAGUCCAAACUCCACUAAUAGGAUCUCUGGGAGACUAUCUUUUUGCUAAUGAUUAAUGGAGAGAGGUCACAUUUUACUGCCUUAAUCAUCUCCUGGCAUGAGGGUAACAGCAUGACAAAUUAAACAAGACCCAAAAAAUUGAACUCUUAAUCUCAGUCCUGCUAGGCAACACCACCUCAGGUGCUGAAGCAAAGGAAGAAAAACAAGUUGUAAAGCUUCUCCCCCCAAGAUUUCUGCAGAUUUCAAUUCUUCACUCAAACGCUACCAUCAGCCUUUUCCUAUUUUCCUAUUUUUCUUAAUUAAUCAGAAUGGAUUUUGAUACAAAGGUACCUGCGAUAGAUUGUGUUUGACUUUUUUAACAAAACAGUGCAAAACUCUGUUUUUUUUUUCCCCCCCUCGUCUCUUAAAUUAAUUUAAAACACACCAAAGAAUAAAUGUUCUUUUAGCUGUGGAAAAAAAUUCCA
rnacentral:lncRNA from 1 species